rfam:Ovis aries breed Texel chromosome 2, whole genome shotgun sequence.
UCCCUGAUGGCCUAAUGGUUAAGAUGUGGUGCUCUCACCUCCAUGGCCUGGGUUCAAUCCCUAGUCAGGGAG